rfam:Alteromonadaceae bacterium Bs31 genome assembly, contig: K381DRAFT_scaffold00003.3
ACCGAAAAAGGCAAACCCGUGGAAACACGGGGACGCAAAGCCAGUGCCCUAGCAUUUAGCACCGAAGCCUGAUGCGGGUCGAACGGUUACCGAAA